CUUUUCUUGUUUCCUCCAUGCUUCAAGAACUAGGUUGACUGGAUCGGGAUCACCCUCCUAUUUUAUUUGAUUUGGAAAAACAACAUUAAAUAACAGGAUGAGCAUAAAUCACUCAGUAAGCCUAGAUCAGCACCUCAAGCAAUUAGAAUCUACAUUACAGUGCAGUAAUUCAUUCACCCUGGUGGGUGUUUUCCUCAACUCAAAUCACUUACCUAUAACUUCGUCUUACCCUAUAAUGCCUUGCAACUUAUAUAGUCGAGGCAUCCUGUUUU
rnacentral:lncRNA from 1 species